ACUAGACUGGUUCGGUAAUUCGGUUUUCCUGGACUGACUCGGUCAUCAACUAUUUAUCCCUGGAAUGAUUAGGUCAUCAGCUAUUUACCUCUGGACUAAGUCGUCAUCAGCUAUUUACUCUGGUUUACUCGUGGGCAUGGACUGGUUCGGAAAUCAACUCAUUUUGCCUGCACUGACUCUGUAAUUAAUCUAUUGUUUCUCCUGGGAUCGCCUGUUUUUCCCUGGCUCAGUUCUCAACUGUCUCCCCUGGGCUAACUGGACAUUGUUUUCCUUGGAGUGACUAACUGGGUCAUCAUCUGUUUCCACAGACUCAGUGGGGUCACUCCUUACAGGUCAUCUCAUCAUCCACUGUUUACCGUGGAGUGAUUUGUUUGCAGCCCGUUUUCACGCAGCGGAGGGGAUUUCCGUCUUUCCCUCAUCUGAUCCUGUCCCUGAACGGACUCGGUCAUCCACUGUGAGCCCUGGACUGACUCUGUUAUCCACUGCUCUUCCUGGGCGGAGGCUGAUGACGCUUCACCCUACUGGUUCUGGUUCUUAAAAGCGGGCUUCCGGGAACUUAAAACAAGGUGGUUCUAUAUUCACGUGGAUGAAAACACAGAGCGGUACCUGAGUUUCCCCUCAGAGGAGUUAUCCCAGUUUGCAUCCCAACCAAGAACAUACAGAGGUCUCUCCAAAGCCUGUGCGUUGUCCCCAAUCUUAAUUUUUUCCCGGUGUGACAGGGACUUACGGGGACGUAAGACCGUGGGCCUCGACGCAAAGGACAAAGUUAGUGUCUUUAAUCUGCAUUCGGGGAAUUCUCCAUCCCGCACCGGCUGAGUCCAGAGAAACUGGAAAACGGAAAAAGUGUCGAAGUUCUUUCUACAUGUGCUGGCAAAGUUUGGAGGAUUGCUUGGUCUUGUGACAGGAUAUUUAUUAUGGGGUUUGGGGACGGGGGUGGCUUAGGAUGAGGUAAGUGCUUGUUUAUGCAGCAUUUAUCUCAUGCACAGCUUAACUUCAUAAUCGAGACAAAUGUAUUAAUGCAUUUUUAAAAUGAAAAUUGAUGUUAAGACAUCCAUAAAGAAUUAAGCAUCAAAGCUAAAUAAAGACAAGAUGGGUAACA
rnacentral:lncRNA from 1 species